rnacentral:pre_miRNA from 1 species
GAAAUAUAAAAACCCGUUUCUUAAUUUUUAAUUAAAAAAGUUAAGAACCGGUUCUUAAAUAAGAGUUUUAAGAACCGGUUCUUAACUUUUUUAGUUAAAAAUUAAGAGACGGGUUCUUAUAUUCC